AAGAAGAGGAAGAGCAUAACAUAUAUAAGAUGACAAACCGUUAAAAGGAUUAGUGAUCGUUGAUCAUAGAGGUGUCCGUAAUAGAGAGUUCCUGUGGUUCCUUCCCUGCUGAUGUUACCACUUUAGCACCACCAGGAGCCGGAAGCCGUUCGAUUAGGGGAAGCUGCAGCUGCCUGCAGGGUUUUCGGCAUCGAUGGAGUUUCUGAGGGGAUGGUUGUGUGCGUGUUUGCGGAAGGAGAAGAGUAAGAGAGGGCAAGGAGAGGAAGGAGGUGAAGGAGAAGAUGCGGAGGGUCCCACCUGGGAUUUCUUCUUCCACCUUGGAACUCUGCAAAUCGCUACCAAUUUCUUUUCCGACUUGAAUCUGCUCGGCCAUGGUGGCUUCGGCCCCGUUUUCAAGAAAAAGGUCAGAAGCGAGUUCGUUUUCAAUCUGGAGAUUAGGGAAGCAACAAUAUUGAACAUACUCUGCUUUUCAGCUCAUCAAACUGAACUUGUUAAUUAAUUAAUUAGCCUACUACUACUCUUAACUCUACUCCCAUUAUCUCCUUUGUGUUUGCUUUUUCGCGGGCAAAACCAAAUUUAUCAAGUUUUGAUUAAUUCCAUUCUCUUUUAGAAAA